rnacentral:rRNA from 1 species
AUUGAACGCUGGCGGCAGGCCUAACACAUGCAAGUCGAGCGAGUGGCGGACGGGUGAGUAAUGUCUGGGAAACUGCCUGAUGGAGGGGGAUAACUACUGGAAACGGUAGCUAAUACCGCAUACCAUCGGAUGUACCCAUAUGGGAUUAGCUUGUAGGUGGGGUAACGGCUCACCUAGGCGACGAUCCCUAGCUGGUCUGAGAGGAUGACCAGCCACACUGGAACUGAGACACGGUCCAGACUCCUACGGGAGGCAGCAGUGGGGAAUAUUGCACAAUGGGCGCAAGCCUGAUGCAGCCAUGCCGCGUGUAUGAAGAAGGCCUUCGGGUUGUAAAGUACUUUCAGUGAGGAGGCGUUACUCGCAGAAGAAGCACCGGCUAACUCCGUGCCAGCAGCCGCGGUAAUAC